rnacentral:rRNA from 1 species
CCUACGGGUGGCAGCAGUGAGGAAUAUUGGUCAAUGGGCGAGAGUCUGAACCAGCCAAGUAGCGUGAAGGAUGACUGCCCUAUGGGUUGUAAACUUCUUUUAUAUGGGAAUAAAAUGUUCCACGUGUGGGAUUUUGUAUGUACCAUAUGAAUAAGGAUCGGCUAACUCCGUGCCAGCAGCCGCGGUAAUACGGAGGGUCCGAGCGUUAUCCGGAUUUAUUGGGUGUAAAGGGAGCGUAGGUGGAUUGUUAAGUCAGUUGUGAAAGUUUGCGGCUCAACCGUAAAAUUGCAGUUGAAACUGGCAGUCUUGAGUACAGUAGAGGUGGGCGGAAUUCGUGGUGUAGCGGUGAAAUGCUUAGAUAUCACGAAGAACUCCGAUUGCGAAGGCAGUUCACUGGACUGCAACUGACACUGAGGCUCGAAAGUGUGGGUAUCAAACAGGAUUAGAUACCCGUGUAGUC